GUGAGAGUAAGUGAUAGACGCCACUAGAGGGCGUCGGAGUCCAGGGCCUGGUGAGAAGAGACAAGUGCAGCUUCACAUGGACUAAUCCAACGAGGAGCAGAACGAACGUGAGGCGUCGUUGGUCCAGGAUGAUGUGGACGUUGGAUCACAAAGUGCAUUUACUCAGAUAGACCCAUCGAGUCACGUGCUGGAAGUCAUCACUGCUGAUGAAUAUGACACAGACACUGGGUCAUUGCUGGAGCUCCAUGAAGGGCCCAGGGCUGUGCAGACGUGUCCCCCAGCUGUGAGGCCCUCAGGCUGGGCAGCUGACAACAGGAGCAGCCCGCCGCCCUCCUGACUCCCGGUUCCCUCCCUCGUGGAGAGAGAAACGAAGCGAAGAGGAGAACGGGGAAAGGAGGCAAAGGAGGAUGUUGUCGUUCAUCUGGUUGAGACCAAAUCUCAUCAUCACCCGGCUCGCCAUGCGGUCAAGACGGGGCCCCCUGUUCUCCGGCAGGUCCUCGUGGACCCUGACCUCUGACCCUGUCACAGAGGAGGCCGGGCUGAAGAGGAAACAGAAACCAGAGCAGAACACGUUCACACUCCGGUGUCAUGGAGCUGAGAGGCGGAAAACGUGUCUGUCCGUGUGUGUGUGUGUGUGUGUGUGUGUGUGUGUGUGUGUGUGUGUGUGUGAGAGUGUGUGUGUUUGUGUGUGAGAGAGAUCAUCCUUGUUCCUUCCACAUAUUCCUGAACAUGCCGGGGAUCAGUGAAGCAUUAAUGGAGAAACAUGCUCAUACGGUACAUCACACACUCCCAUCAUACGACUACACAUGCAGUCAUGGAUUAAUAACCAUCAACAACACACACACACACACACACACACACACACA